rnacentral:lncRNA from 12 species
AUGUGAACUGAUCAUGGAAAAUAAAAAACAAACCUUGGAGUCAACAGAGUCCUUGCCACUUCCUGAGGCCCUGACCUCUAGUGUCAUGUGGUCAAUGUUACAUUCUUUAUUUUCUUUAAUUAUUGGUUUUCACAUGAUAGGUGAGUGUGCAGGACGGCUGUCAGAAGAUGCAUUUAUAAGCUGUUAUGUGAAAGGGUUUUGAAAUAUAUCAAAUGCAUCAUAAGGCAAGAAUUCACACAGCAAGUCUUGUGGCUAAUCCUUUGCUUUGAGCGGCUGAAGAGCCUUGGAGGGGCAUCGCAGCAAGUAUCCCUCCCUGGGCACCAGACACAGAGAACCGACUGACUUUUGUGAUGAACUUUCCAAACGAGCUGUUGCUACAGCCGACCAACCGGCAAGCCGGCCGAGGGACCCGACUACUUCCCCUGGGCCCGACGACAGAAUAGAUUUGUCGCAAGCAAACUGUAAGUGGGCUGCCAUCAUCAAAGAAAUCAGCAGCCCGUCUCCCUGGGAGACUGCAACCCCCCACAUUUAUCUAAAUUAUCUCGGUAAUAUGACAGAGUGAUUGCUCACUAAUGGUCAAUAACAGUUUUCUUUGUCAUUUUCCUAGUCAUUACCUCCUGAGAAUGAACUCCCGAGUACACUGCUUGCAGCCCGUGACUGGAAUGUUAAUUUCGUCCUGCGUCCCCGGCUGGCUCCCUUCAACGGUACUGGGCUCUCGCAUUUCUGACAUUUUUCGUUUUGUAAAAAUGAAUACCUGCCUUAGAAAGCCUGAUGAACGCAGAGAUACUUUACAUGCAAACACACACACACACACACACACACACACACACACACACAAAUGCUGUUCCCAUUUCCCCCUGUCUUUCAUCUGACAAAGCGGGUAGUGACUGCGAGCUCAGAAUUGGCUGGCGGAGGUGUCUGCUGGUGUGUGGGCUCCAUUUCUGGGGCUUUAUCAAGCCCUGUCUCCGAUUUUCCCAUUUCAGACAAUCUUCCUUUGAAGACGUGGAUGACAUAGUAAAACCGAUUGCACUUGAGAGCCGAUUCCAUGACUAUUUUGCUGCAACAGCGCAUUCUGCAAAUUUCAGCUGCUUCACUAGCUUCUCCUGUUUGUUGCUGAACCGAUUAUCCUGUUCUGCACUUGUUCCGCGGAAGAAUCCCGAGUCCCAUCUUCUGCCUCGCUCGGACCUGAUAUUUGUUCUUUAUUCUCCUAAAGCGGAAAGGAAUGGCACCUUUCUGCAUUUCCUGAAAGGCACCCACCCACUACCUGGGAGAACUGGCCCCUGACUUUAGUGAUGAGCUUUUCUUUCUGGAAGAUGAGGAAGCAACCAAGGUCACGAUCGCCGCCCGUGUCACCUUCCCAUCUUCCUGGAGGGACGACCAUCCCUUCCGUUGGGUACCGCCUCGUGUCCCUGCCAUUUCGUUGUGUAGCAUUAAAACUAGGUCAACUUGUCCUUUUAUUAAGUUCUUCCCAAAUAUAGCAGCGUCAAUUCCAGAAUGGUUUUCUGGGGG